AUGCCAGAAAUUAUUCCUGGGGAGCAAGGUGUCAUAGAGGUCGCUCGACACCCGGAUGCAUUUACAGUCGUGACGGGCAUAGUAGGGUGUGCAGGACUAAAGCCUACAGUUGCAGCAAUUGAAGCUGGGAAAGACAUAGCAUUGGCGAACCAAGAGACGAGCGCGCCGAGGGCGAUGACCGCUACCCUGCUCCUCUCCCGGCAAAGGCACGUCUACCUCUCCCGUGAAGGUUUUGUUUCCUGCAACCUCUGUUUACAUUACAACUUCGAAAUAGAUAGGAUGUGGUCUGAUUGCAGUUAUGAUUUAGCACUGAUUGUGUGGGUUGAUUACAUCUGGUCAUUACAUUCUUCGGGAGGAGACCUUGUGUUGAGCAUGACACCCAGUCUGGCCAGCCUUGCAACUGCCAGCAACCCGAUUCAUCGACUGUAUGUUGAUCCAAGCAAUGGUCUUUGUUAUGAGGAGCCUGACUGCACCGAAUAUGAUGAGUUUCCUGGCUACUAUCCAUCUGACCAUGAGGACAACAGUAGUAAUUGCUUAUCUGAGCUUGAGCUGUGA
rnacentral:rRNA from 1 species